AGUCAACCUACCCUAUGGACGGGAAUAAUCUCGGGAAACUGAGGAUAAUGCCCGAUAGAACACUAUGCCUGGAACGGCUUGUGUUCCAAAUGAUUUAUCGCCGUAGGAUGGGACUGCGGCCUAUCAGUUUGUUGGUGAGGUAAUGGCCCACCAAGACUAUUACAGGUACGGGCUCUGAGAGGAGUAGCCCGGAGAUGGGUACUGAGACACGGACCCAGGCCCUAUGGGGCGCAGCAGGCGAGAAAACUUUGCAAUGUGCGAAAGCGCGACAAGGUUAAUCCGAGUGGUUCCUGCUAAAGGAACCUUUUGACGGUCCUAAAAACACCGUUGAAUAAGGGGUGGGCAAGUUCUGGUGUCAGCCGCCGCGGUAAAACCAGCACCUCAAGUGGUCAGGAUGAUUAUUGGGCCUAAAGCAUCCGUAGCCGGCUCUGUUAGUUUUCGGUUAAAUCUGUGCGCUCAACGUACAGGCUGCCGGGAAUACUGCAGAGCUAGGGAGUGGGAGAGGUAGACGGUACUCGGUAGGAAGGGGUAAAAUCCUUUGAUCUAUUGAUGACCACCUGUGGCGAAGGCGGUCUACCAGAACACGUCCGACGGUGAGGGAUGAAAGCUGGGGGAGCAAACCGGAUUAGAUACCCGGGUAGUCCCAGCUGUAAACUAUGCAAACUCAAUGAUGCACUGGCUUGAAGCCAAUGCAGUGUU
rnacentral:rRNA from 1 species